rnacentral:sRNA from 1 species
ACUGAAGUUAACUUGGAUAUAGAGCGAACUCCACUGUUGAGCAUCGUAAAUGAGCGCGGCUAGGUUGUUCUAGACUAUUUUAUAUACCCACAAUCUGCGCAGAGUUAUGAAUCAGGAAAUUUUAUCUGAGAUUUUUUGCCCGCCGUAUGACUGACGAUCUACUUUUUCCAACUUGGGUGGCUGAAUGUGAUUCACCACGAUUGUCUCAAUCAUUUGCCUCUUCAACAUGCCCUGCGGGAUCUAUAGGGAGCUGGAAGACAGCCUAUAACCCUACCGCGGGAUGUUAUUUGCUUAUUUAUAUUGAGUCUCAAGAAUAACCAGGUUACGAGCUCCAGUGUGUGUAUAGAGAUUUGCGCAGAAUUUGAAUAUGUUCUGGAUUAUUCGGAAUAUGGAGGCAUGGAACAAAAACCCUUGCACCAUCUGGAAACGGAAAAUGAAACCUUCAACACUGAGAUCUUACCCUCAUGGCAGAAGUUAUGAGGGAUGGACACCUCACAUAAAAGCUGAGUUAAGCAUCAAGUCGCUAAAACACAUCCAUAUAGGCCAG